rnacentral:rRNA from 1 species
GGUUAAGCGACUAAGCGUACACGGUGGAUGCCCUGGCAGUCAGAGGCGAUGAAGGACGUGCUAAUCUGCGAUAAGCGUCGGUGAGGUGAUAUGAACCGUUAUAACCGGCGAUUUCCGAAUGGGGAAACCCAGUGUGUUUCGACACACUAUCAUUAACUGAAUCCAUAGGUUAAUGAGGCGAACCGGGGGAACUGAAACAUCUAAGUACCCCGAGGAAAAGAAAUCAACCGAGAUUCCCCCAGUAGCGGCGAGCGAACGGGGAGGAGCCCAGAGCCUGAAUCAGUGUGUGUGUUAGUGGAAGCGUCUGGAAAGGCGCGCGAUACAGGGUGACAGCCCCGUACACAAAAAUGCACAUAUUGUGAGCUCGAUGAGUAGGGCGGGACACGUGGUAUCCUGUCUGAAUAUGGGGGGACCAUCCUCCAAGGCUAAAUACUCCUGACUGACCGAUAGUGAACCAGUACCGUGAGGGAAAGGCGAAAAGAACCCCGGCGAGGGGAGUGAAAAAGAACCUGAAACCGUGUACGUACAAGCAGUGGGAGCCUCUUAAUGGGGUGACUGCGUACCUUUUGUAUAAUGGGUCAGCGACUUAUAUUCUGUAGCAAGGUUAACCGAAUAGGGGAGCCGAAGGGAAACCGAGUCUUAACUGGGCGUUAAGUUGCAGGGUAUAGACCCGAAAUCCGGUGAUCUAGCCAUGGGCAGGUUGAAGGUUGGGUAACACUAACUGGAGGACCGAACCGACUAAUGUUGAAAAAUUAGCGGAUGACUUGUGGCUGGGGGUGAAAGGCCAAUCAAACCGGGAGAUAGCUGGUUCUCCCCGAAAGCUAUUUAGGUAGCGCCUCGUGAAUUCAUCUCCGGGGGUAGAGCACUGUUUCGGCAAGGGGGUCAUCCCGACUUACCAACCCGAUGCAAACUGCGAAUACCGGAGAAUGUUAUCACGGGAGACACACGGCGGGUGCUAACGUCCGUCGUGAAGAGGGAAACAACCCAGACCGCCAGCUAAGGUCCCAAAGUCAUGGUUAAGUGGGAAACGAUGUGGGAAGGCCCAGACAGCCAGGAUGUUGGCUUAGAAGCAGCCAUCAUUUAAAGAAAGCGUAAUAGCUCACUGGUCGAGUCGGCCUGCGCGGAAGAUGUAACGGGGCUAAACCAUGCACCGAAGCUGCGGCAGCGACGCUUAUGCGUUGUUGGGUAGGGGAGCGUUCUGUAAGCCUGUGAAGGUGUGCUGUGAGGCAUGCUGGAGGUAUCAGAAGUGCGAAUGCUGACAUAAGUAACGAUAAAGCGGGUGAAAAGCCCGCUCGCCGGAAGACCAAGGGUUCCUGUCCAACGUUAAUCGGGGCAGGGUGAGUCGACCCCUAAGGCGAGGCCGAAAGGCGUAGUCGAUGGGAAACAGGUUAAUAUUCCUGUACUUGGUGUUACUGCGAAGGGGGGACGGAGAAGGCUAUGUUGGCCGGGCGACGGUUGUCCCGGUUUAAGCGUGUAGGCUGGUUUUCCAGGCAAAUCCGGAAAACCAAGGCUGAGGCGUGAUGACGAGGCACUACGGUGCUGAAGCAACAAAUGCCCUGCUUCCAGGAAAAGCCUCUAAGCAUCAGGUAACAUCAAAUCGUACCCCAAACCGACACAGGUGGUCAGGUAGAGAAUACCAAGGCGCUUGAGAGAACUCGGGUGAAGGAACUAGGCAAAAUGGUGCCGUAACUUCGGGAGAAGGCACGCUGAUAUGUAGGUGAAGCGACUUGCUCGUGGAGCUGAAAUCAGUCGAAGAUACCAGCUGGCUGCAACUGUUUAUUAAAAACACAGCACUGUGCAAACACGAAAGUGGACGUAUACGGUGUGACGCCUGCCCGGUGCCGGAAGGUUAAUUGAUGGGGUUAGCGGCAACGCGAAGCUCUUGAUCGAAGCCCCGGUAAACGGCGGCCGUAACUAUAACGGUCCUAAGGUAGCGAAAUUCCUUGUCGGGUAAGUUCCGACCUGCACGAAUGGCGUAAUGAUGGCCAGGCUGUCUCCACCCGAGACUCAGUGAAAUUGAACUCGCUGUGAAGAUGCAGUGUACCCGCGGCAAGACGGAAAGACCCCGUGAACCUUUACUAUAGCUUGACACUGAACAUUGAGCCUUGAUGUGUAGGAUAGGUGGGAGGCUUUGAAGUGUGGACGCCAGUCUGCAUGGAGCCGACCUUGAAAUACCACCCUUUAAUGUUUGAUGUUCUAACGUUGGCCCGUAAUCCGGGUUGCGGACAGUGUCUGGUGGGUAGUUUGACUGGGGCGGUCUCCUCCUAAAGAGUAACGGAGGAGCACGAAGGUUGGCUAAUCCUGGUCGGACAUCAGGAGGUUAGUGCAAUGGCAUAAGCCAGCUUGACUGCGAGCGUGACGGCGCGAGCAGGUGCGAAAGCAGGUCAUAGUGAUCCGGUGGUUCUGAAUGGAAGGGCCAUCGCUCAACGGAUAAAAGGUACUCCGGGGAUAACAGGCUGAUACCGCCCAAGAGUUCAUAUCGACGGCGGUGUUUGGCACCUCGAUGUCGGCUCAUCACAUCCUGGGGCUGAAGUAGGUCCCAAGGGUAUGGCUGUUCGCCAUUUAAAGUGGUACGCGAGCUGGGUUUAGAACGUCGUGAGACAGUUCGGUCCCUAUCUGCCGUGGGCGCUGGAGAACUGAGGGGGGCUGCUCCUAGUACGAGAGGACCGGAGUGGACGCAUCACUGGUGUUCGGGUUGUCAUGCCAAUGGCACUGCCCGGUAGCUAAAUGCGGAAGAGAUAAGUGCUGAAAGCAUCUAAGCACGAAACUUGCCCCGAGAUGAGUUCUCCCUGAGACUUAGAGUCUCCUGAAGGAACGUUGAAGACGACGACGUUGAUAGGCCGGGUGUGUAAGCGCAGCGAUGCGUUGAGCUAACCGGUACUAAUGAACCGUGAGGCUUAACCUU